GGCGCCAUCGUCUAGUCUGGCCUAGGACACCACGCUUUCAAUGUGGUAACAUGGGUUCGAAUCCCAUUGGCGCUA
rnacentral:tRNA from 1 species